rnacentral:rRNA from 1 species
GCGUUAUUCGGAAUUAUUGGGCGUAAAGGGCGCGUAGGCGGCCUCGCGUGUCUCUCGUGAAAUCCCUCGGCUUAACUGAGGACGUGCGGAAGAAACUGCGAGGCUCGAGUCCGGGAGAGGGGGGUGGAAUUCCCAGUAUAGCGGUGAAAUGCGUAGAUAUUGGGAGGAACACCGGUGGCGAAGGCGGCCCCCUGGACCGGUACUGACGCUGAGGCGCGAAAGCGUG